GCGCGCAUGGCGACUUAUGUGCUCGUAAGUAAUGGAGUAUGCGCGCGAAGCGACUAACGGGCUCGUAUGUAGAGGAGCAUGUGCGCGUGGCGACUUACGUGCUCGUCUGUAGAGGAGUAUGCGCGCGUGGCGACUUACGUGCUCGUAUGUAAAAGAGCAUGCGCGCGUGGCGACUUACGUGCUCGUAUGUAAAAGAGCAUGCGCGCGUGGCGACUUACGUGCUCGUAUGUAAAAGAGCAUGCGCGCGUGGCGACUUACGUGCUCGUAUGUAAUAGAGCAUGCGCGCGUGGCGACUUACGUGCUCGUAUGUAAAAGAGCAUGCGCGCGUGGCGACUUACGUGCUCGUAUUGUAAAAGAGCAUGUGCGCGUGGCGACUUACGUGCUCGUAUGUAAAAGAGCAUGCGCGCGUGGCGACUUACGUGCUCGUAUGUAAUAGAGCAUGCGUGCGUGGCGACUUACGUGCUCGUAUGUAAUAGAGCAUGCGCCAGCCGGCGACUUACGUGCUCGUAUGUAAUAGAGCAUGCGCGCGUGGCGACUUACGUGCUCGUAUGUAAAAGAGCAUGCGCGCGUGGCGACUUACGUGCUCGUAUUGUAAAAGAGCAUGCGCGCAUGGCGACUUACGUGCUCGUAUGUAAUAGAGCAUGCGUUACGUGCUCGUAUGUAAAAGAGCAUGCGCGCGUGGCGACUUACGUGCUCGUAUGUAAUAGAGCAUGCGCACGUGGCGACUUACGUGCUCGUAUGUAAUAGAGCAUGCGCCAGCCGGCGACUUACGUGCUCGUAAGUAAAAGAGCAUGCGCGCGUGGCGACUUACGUGCUCGUGAUUAAAGGAGCAUGCGCGCGUGGCGACUUACGUGC
rnacentral:lncRNA from 1 species